UACGAAGGUGGCAAGCGUUGUUCGGAUUUACUGGGCGUACAGGGCGCGUAGGCGGUUGGGUAAGCCCUCCGUGAAAUCUCCGGGCCUAACCCGGAAAGUGCGGAGGGGACUGCUUGGCUAGAGGAUGGGAGAGGAGCGCGGAAUUCCCGGUGUAGCGGUGAAAUGCGCAGAUAUCGGGAGGAACACCAAUGGCGAAGGCAGCACGCUGGGACGUUACUGACGCUGAGACGCGAAAGCGUGGGGAGCAAACAGG
rnacentral:rRNA from 1 species